rnacentral:lncRNA from 1 species
UAAGAGGGACGGCUUAUAGAGAAAGGGCCUUUUCGGCAGCUGCCCCCAGACUAUGGAAUGCCCUCCCGACUGAGAUUCCUCUGGCGCCGACGCUGAUGACAUUUCGGCGCCAGGUCAAAACCUUCCUGUUCCAAAUGGCUUUUAACUGAAAUAAUAUCAGCUGUAGGUCUGAUGGCAAUUUUUAGAAUAUAUAUUUUAAUUGCAUUUUAAUUAUUUUGCCCUUUUAUUGUAUUUUAAAUGCUGUAAGCCGCCCAGAGACCUUGAGUGUGGGCGGCAUAUAAGUUAAAUAAAUAAAUAAAUAAAUAAAUAAAUAAAUAAAUAAAUAAAUAAAUAAAUAAAUAAAUAGGUCCUUCACCAAGAGGGCCAAAGCAGUCCCCGUCCCAUAACCCAGUCUGAAGUGAAAUGGAUCUAGAGUGUCUCCUCUAGGAAGGAAACCUCGGAGCAAGUGCCUCCGCCAAGACAGACCCCGCCAGACUCCCUGGGAAUGGUCUCCAGGCAUGAGGGGGACCCCUUUCACUCCGGGAGGCGGGAAAGAAGGAAGGCGGCGAGAGACCCCUUUCUCUCCCCCAAAGGGGGCAGGCUUCGCAUUGGGGGGGGGGGGUGCGUGGGUGGGCGUCUCUCCAGCAGGGACUGGGAAUGGGCUCGGGCGUCACGUGAUAACAGUCACGUGAUCGGAGGUAGGCAUGGUGCUGGUUCCCAAGUGGGGAGAAGGAGAGGGGAGCAGGGAAGUGGGGUGAAGGUUAGACCUGGCGCGUCCGCCCCAAAAAAGAAACCGGGGUUCUGGAGACCGUGGGAAGGAGGCAAGAGAGGUGAGCGUUCCGGGUGCAGGGAUUUCAGCCGGCAAGGCAAGAUCUGGGUUUCUUAAUGUAAUAGUCAAGGUGGAAGAAGAGGAAAAGCUGAAUGAGCGUGAAUUAGAGACUUUCUCAAGGACCAGCUCAGGUGAAGGAUGGGCUACCAAGGGCCAUUAACUGUAAAGAAAUGUCUGAGUCACAUUGCAGCUUUCUAGCCUCUUUCCCCUUGCAGUGGUUCCCCAGUGGUUCUGCUGCAGGACUGUGUGGUGGAAGCAGACCUUUCUGCAGCCUAUAUUUUAUUGUUAGCAGUGCGUUCCUAAGUGCGUUUCACGUAAUUAUACUUGUAUGUAAGCAGAAGACUUUAAUAAAAACGGCGAAUUCCACCCUGCA